rnacentral:tRNA from 1 species
UCAAGGGUAGAGCGCUCGCUUCGUAUGCGAGAUGUCCUGGGUUCGAUCCCCAGCACUUGCA